rnacentral:lncRNA from 1 species
GUAGCAAUAGGGUUUUUGUUUCCCUUUUUUUUUUAAGAAAAAAAAUGGGGGGCCUAGAAAAAAAGCUUACAAGUCUUGUUUCAGGAAAGCAGCUGGAACAUUAAUGGCAAUUCCACUUUCCCAUUCAUCGCCCCCGCCCCCACCACCCCACCAAGAAACUCAGUGGGAAUGAAUGGUCUACACAGAGAAACUGAAAUCUGGUUAGUCAAGAAGGAAAAAACAACCAAGUGCCUGGCAUUAAGAGGAUUUUUUUUUUAAGCUCAGCCUAUGGACAACAAAAGCAUGGACUGUAUUUCUCAGCAUCUUUUGCACUUGAACAAGAUUAUUUUUUCCUUGAAAAUUGACAUGGAUGGUCUGCCACUGUGGGCUUUAUCUUCAACAUCGUCUCACCCUUCUUAUUAAUAACACAAGUUAUCCACUUGUAAACUGCUGUUUUUUUGGGGCUAUCCACUUGUAAACUGCUGUUUUUUUGGGGGCACUGUCACCAUAAACUUUUGAUAAGGCAUCAGUGAUUUCAACAUUCUUCACCCAAGCUUCACCAUAAAUUUGAUGUUUCUUUUUGCUUCAUUUUAGCAGAAUUUGUUCCAAUAGGGGCUCUUUUCGAACUGAUUUUUUUUUUCAUUUUUUUCCACUGGGAUUUUGAGAAAAUCAAACUGAUAGCCUUCUUAGUGCCUCAAACUAGAUCCUGUUCAGACACAAACAAGUUAGUAUGAGUUUGUUUCAGUGAAAAAAAAAUUUGAAAUUCAUGCAUAGUUUUUCAUAAUGUGAAUUUUUCAUGAACUUUUGGAAGACCUUUUGAAUACUUUUUUAAUUGCAGCACUCUUUUGCACCAUAAAACUAAUUGGUGGCUUUACCAUUAAGAAGUUGAGCCAAGCAAACAAUAAUGAAAAUGCUUUAUGUGGAAUAAAAAUUUACACUUAAAUGCCU